GCAGUGUGUGUAUAUAAUGCAGAGUGUGUUUAUAUAAUGCACACACUCUGCAUUAUAUACACACACUGCAUU
rnacentral:miRNA from 1 species